AACGAACGCUGGCGGCAGGCUUAACACAUGCAAGUCGAACGCAUCCUUCGGGGUGAGUGGCAGACGGGUGAGUAACGCGUGGGAACGUGCCCUUCAGUUCGGGAUAACCCAGGGAAACUUGGGCUAAUACCGGAUACGUGCGAGAGCAGAAAGAUUUAUCGCUGAAGGAUCGGCCCGCGUCUGAUUAGCUAGUUGGUGGGGUAAUGGCCCACCAAGGCGACGAUCAGUAGCUGGUCUGAGAGGAUGAUCAGCCACAUUGGGACUGAGACACGGCCCAAACUCCUACGGGAGGCAGCGGUGGGGAAUAUUGGACGAUGGGCGGAAGCCGGAUCCAGCCAUGCCGCGUGAGUGAUGAAGGCCUUAGGGUUGUAAAGCUCUUUCGUCCGGGACGAUAAUGACGGUACCGGAAGAAGAAGCCCCGGCUAACUUCGUGCCAGCCGCCGCCGUAA
rnacentral:rRNA from 1 species